GUGCUUGCUUCAGCAGCACAUAUACUAAAAUUGGAAUGAUACAGUGAAGAUUAGCAUGGCCCCUGUGGGGGAGACAUACAUCUGAAAUAAGCAUUCACACAUUUC